rnacentral:lncRNA from 1 species
AUGGCGCACUCCACGUCCUGGGGGAAGUGCCGAAAGGGCAGCCAUCAGGGAAGAAGCACAGGGGACGGGGCAGCCCUCCUGGAUUCCCUGCCAGGAAGACGGCGAUGCAGAAACUUGUGGACUUGUCGAUUUGCACAGCAGUGCCAAAGACAGUUCCCCCGCUCCGGGCCUCCAGCCGCAGCUCUGCUAGAUUGGAAGGCCUUUCUCUACCACCCUGAGCCUGCCGCAGGUGGUAUAUCCACCCCUCACCCAUCAGACGGGGCCCAUGCCUCUGGUCCAACUGUCCUGGCACCGAUGUCAGCUGGUCAGCCCAUGAGGUGGGACAGGGUAGACACAGCAGUACCCAGUCUCCCCAGACACUGCCCUAUCUUCUUUCUCGGGUCCCGGGCUGCUUCACACCGAGACUACAUGGAAAAGGAGCGGUCCUUUUGGAGGCAAGUGUCACCGGGGCCCUGGCAUGAAGGGUCCCAGCUAAGAUAUGGAGACAGGGAAGAAGGUUGGCCACAUCCCAGGAGGCCCCAGGAAGGGCGUGGUAUUAGAGAGAAGCAUAAGGAACAAGAAAAAAAUCCUUGCUCACACAAGCCUGCUGCUUGCCUAUGUGUGUGUCUUCAAGUAACUCAGAGACCCGGGGGGGUGGGAAGGGAGCCUUGUGUUUCGUCCUUCCCUCUGCAAAAGGAGGCCAUCAUGGCAGGUGCAGGCUAGCAGGCUCGAAAGCUGCCUGGUGGGUCACUGUCUGCAAUCUGCCUCCCUCCCCUGUCCCCUGGGGGGACCCGAAGUCCCCCUGUGCACUGGGGGCUUUGGAUUGACUCGGGAGCUUCUUACCUGCUGACCUUUCAAAAUGCUCCCACAAUCUUGCUCGUUUGGCAGCAACUGUUACGAGGCUCUGAAUUUUCCCUAGUGAGACCCCAGGAAGCAUUAAGAAAAACAAGAGUUGGGGGGGCCCCACCUAGAGACAGCCAUCAUUUACACCUGCAGUGUUCUCAUUUCUUCCCUUCAGGCUCCGCUUCUCCAGUUUUUUUUUUUAAAAAAACAUGAUAGAGCUCCUGUUCUACAGAUUUUGGAAAAUUCUUUGUUCUACUGAUUUGAUGUCACAUCCUGGACCUCCCCCUGCAUCUUUAAAAUGCUUUGUGGCACCCUGUUUAAUGCACACAUUAGAAUCCUCUGCUCUGGCCUAUGACGAGUCACUUCAUUGUUCCACGUCUAAGAGCUCACCUUCUGCCAAAUGCUUCCCUUGAAUUUCCUGAAAACAAAUGUGCGGGGAUUAAGGAUUAAGGCAGCUCCUGGAUGGGGCGUGCUCCCCACCACUGGGGAGGAGCUGGAACCCCGACUGGACUGGCGGUGCUAGUUUCCUUCAGUUGCUGUCAGACUGGUGUGUGCAAACAACCCUUGUCCAUUUUCGGGUUUUUUGUUUGUUUUCUUUUAUUAAUUUUUAAUUUAUUUUUAAGACAUUUUUUUACAUUUGUUUUUAUUGAAGUUCUAUUUGCCAACAUACAGUAUAGCACCCAGUGCUCAUCCCAUCAAGUGCCCUCCUCAGUCACCCAGUCACCCCAUCCCCCCACCCACCUCCCCUUCCACUACUCCUCAUUCAUUUCCCAGAGUUAGGAGUCUCUCCUGGUUUGUCUCCCUCUCUCAUUUUCCCCACUCAGUUCCCCUCCUUUCCCUUGUUCAUUUUCUUACUGGUCUGAGGGCAGAAGUGUGAAAUGGGUUUCAGCAGGCCUACACCAAGGCGCAUCUAGGGUAAGAUCCACAGGCCUGCCUUUUCCAGAUUCUAGAGCUGUGGCUGCAGCCCGUGCCCCUUCUCCAUCAUCAAGAGGAGCAUCUCUCCCUGCUUCCAUGUCAUAUGGCAGGACACCUGCAUGGCACAUGCCCCCCUCCCCCACUCUGAUAAUCCAGGAUCGUGUCCCCAUCGCAGGAUCCCCAACUUCAUUACACCUGCAAGCUCCAUUUUGCCACAUAAGGUCUGAGGGACUAGAUCCUGGGGAUUUGGGGGGCACAGCUGGGCUGUCCAGCUGUUAGUGAGCAUGACCCCUGAGGCUCUUGGCCCCUCUCCACGCUGUCUGCUGUGUUUGAUUGUGGGAG